rnacentral:misc_RNA from 1 species
GUUCGUUACAGAUAAAAUACAACAGCAAGCACAUGGGUAUAAUCCAUGGAUCCAUACUCAAAAUCACCUUAAACCCAGUUCCUUCAUAGAAACUUUAGCAUCCGAAUACCGAACCCGAAAUAACAUCACAAAAGGCAGUUGAGAUUUCGUUUGAGAUGGAGUAACUAGAUCAAUUGUGGCACAAAGAUAGUGAGAAGCGUGAACACUAGGGAAGCCAAGAACCAAUUGUAGAAGCAAAGUAUAGCUCUAAAACCAACUCAACCUUGCAAUUCAAGUGAACAAGCUCCCGUCGAGUAAGGACCCAUUCUAGAUAGAGCUCCGUAGGCUCUCAAAGCCACUUAAGAUACUAGGUGCCCACAGAUGACACUGGAAACGUCACCCAGAGAUCCCAACAGCAAAAAUUAGACCCAGCAAACACCAACCAAAGGACCAUCAUCAUAGCAGCUUCACCAAAACUAAGGGAGGCUGGAAGAAGAGCAUGCAACCUUCUCGGCUCAAAUAGACACCCAGAUCAACU